rnacentral:rRNA from 1 species
UACAGAGGGUGCAAGCGUUGUUCGGAAUUAUUGGGCGUAAAGCGCGUGUAGGCGGCUUUGCAAGUCGGGUGUGAAAGCCCUCAGCUCAACUGAGGAAGUGCGCCCGAAACUGCAGAGCUUGAGUGCCGGAGAGGGUGGCGGAAUUCCCCAAGUAGAGGUGAAAUUCGUAGAUAUGGGGAGGAACACCGGUGGCCGAAGGCGGCCACCUGGACGGCAACUGACGCUGAGACGCGAAAG